ACAUAAUCUGUCAUCAGGCACGUAAGUGUUUCAUAGCCGGCUCCUCAGUUUAGAAGUCUCAUGUCUUGCUCACUAUGGUGUCUACAGGGUUUAGAAGGAAUAUUGGACGAAUUUUCCUCAAACUGAGAAUUUCUCUUUUUAUCCCUCCUACUUGAUAGCAGUUGCAUGCAAUGUCAGUGAGAGAGGAAGAACACUGACCCCACACUCUAGCCAGGGGUUUUCCAGUCCUGCUCGGGCAACGCACUGUGUGAGCAUGUGGCUUCUUUUUGAGGUGCUGUGAUGUAGGCAGGGCCAGGCCUGGUGAGCCUCGAGGACGGCUGAGUGACUCUGGUCUCAAGCAGGCCCAGCUCCUUCCCUUUGGUUUGAUUCUAUUUUUCUCAGUAAAAUAGUGAUGUAAUCGAGGGGACGUGGAAUUGUGAGUGGAGAACGUGAGAGAGGGGCACUCGUGGGCCUGGCUGGCUGUGGGGAAGUUCCCAGGGGACCGGUUAGGAUGAAAGGCCCUCACCAUGUUUGGCUGGGGGCCGCGUGGAGGAGGCGGAGGGCAGCUCUUCCUUAGGCGCAAGACUGUGGAAGGAGGUGGGCAUCCUUUUCUGCAGAGCUCACGUGGACUGAGGGAGGCUGCUUCGGAGGUGGGGGACACAGAACACCCUGAAUUUUCUCAGUGGAGCCCAAGUGAAGCCCAGUGAACUUGCUUUCAAGGCUGCUCUCGACUGUGACGUGAGGAUCUCACCCAGCGGUGGCCUGAGGGAGUGUGCUGAACCUAGAGGCUUUUUGCCCGGAGGCUGUUUGUCUGAGCCCUGAUUCCCCACUGGUGCCUACUGUGGGAACAGGCAGUCCCCACACACACGCUUCCCCUUGAAGGCAAGCUCCUGUGACAUGUUUAGGCCUUGGCAUGAACAGCCACCAUGUGCCCAACAGGUGGGGACUCCUGGGAGAGUAGGUCCUCAAGAGACUUAGUCUGGUGUGAGAGCCCCACUGAGCCAGGAACCCAGUAAUAAGUGACACUUCAUAAACCAGAAGUCACUUCCCAUUGAGACCUAGGAUUGGCCAGUUCUCCUUUGGUCUUUCCCCUGUCAGGCAGAAGGGCAGAAUAAGGGACCAAGGAGCUUGUAAGUCAUGUUUCUAUCUGCGCUGAGGGCUGAUCCUGACAGGUGUGUCCUCAGUGCUUUUAUGGGCUGUACGUGUGACUCAGGAAGCCCAGGGACUCCCCCAGCUGCCCGCCAGGCAGGGCCCUCUGAUGGGAAGUGGUACCUGAUACUCAGUUUCCUUUCACACCAGUUUCUCUUGCAUCCCGCAGCUUCGGUGAGUCAGAAAAGCCCUCCUAGAAACUUCUGGUGCUUGGGCUUCUGCUGCUCAGGCUGGAGUGCCUGGGGACUGGUGUCCGUGAGCUGAAGGGUCCCCCGGACUGUGCUGCCUCAGCCCCUCCUCAGGACUCCAUGUUGAGCCUUGGCUCACGUGAGACAGCUCUUGCCUCUGCCACCAUCGAGAGACACCUUCUCUCUGGGCCACUGAUAGAGGAUCUCUGGGUUCCAGAACAGGGGCAAAAGCAGUUUAGGGACAGGCUUGAAGGUUGGGGUGUGGAGAGGGGAGAGCAGAGAGGAAUGGACUCAAAGGACACUGAAGUGAAAGGAAGAAACAUGAUCAGUGGGUCUCAGAGGGAGGUGGCUUUUGCUCCAUACCACAGUUUCCAAAGUCUGGAGACACUUUGGUUGUCAGAACUGGGGCUGCUGCUGGUGACUAGUGGGUCAAGGACAUCCUACAAUGCACAGGAUGUCUCCCUCUGCAAGGAUUGGGCCACCCCUCAUGCUGAUGGUGUCACGGCUGGAUACCAGAUUCAGCUGAGGAACUUCCAGCUGAGCUGUGUUGGGAAAAUCCUUAUGUGAGUUGGAAUUUUAGAAGAAAAGCUCCAUUUUUAAAUUUCUUUAGUUGAAACCAGUGGUUCAAUGAAGCUCAGAGGCGAGGACUCACUGGGUGACCUUGCCAGGUAGGCAUUUGUGGGAAGAGCAGGAAGUCUUGGGCUGAGCUGGGGCUUAUCGGUAGACACUGGCCCAGCAUUCACGCGGCACUGGGCUCCCGAAAAACAAAAACAAAAACAAAAAACUCCUGAGUAAUCCUCAGGGACAGCGACAACUCCCUCCUGUACAUCAGUUAAUGAUUGGUUAACGGGGCAGCUCUCUCCCUUGGGAUGAACAUUCAGGAGAAGACAGCAGACCCCUCCUGGGUCCCCCAAACUACUUCCCAGAUUUAGAGGAAUCCACUGGCAAAAUGAAACUGAAAGCUUGCUUUCCUGCUGAGUCUCCUGCUGACCACAGGGUGUGAAUCUGCCCUUGACUCUAGACUGUCAGCUGCUUUCACUGCAUGAUUCUUUGGGGGUCAGCUUUGUCAACGUAUAAUUGAUGUACAAUAAACUUCACCAUUUUAAGUGCA